UACGAAGGGGGCUAGCGUUGUUCGGAAUCACUGGGCGUAAAGCGCACGUAGGCGGAUCUUUAAGUCAGGGGUGAAAUCCCGAGGCUCAACCUCGGAACUGCCUUUGAUACUGGGGAUCUCGAGUCCGGGAGAGGUGAGUGGAAUUGCGAGUGUAGAGGUGAAAUUCGUAGAUAUCGUAAGGAAGACCAGUGGCGAAGGCGAAUCUCUGGACAGUUACUGACACUGAGGCACGAAGGCCAGGGGAGCAAACGGG
rnacentral:rRNA from 1 species